AUUCACUUAGCACAAAAAGUUGGAAAGUUUUGGCUCAUGGUCCUCAAACUUGUCCUAGGUAUUACAUCACCGACAAAAAUCUCUCGCAGGCAUUUGUCAACGGGGUUAUGCAUUGGCUUGCACAUCGUAGGAAAGGAAGUUUGGGGAAUUCAAUAAUGGGGUUUGAUAUGAAGGAUGAAAUUUUCAUAGAGAUCUUCUUACCGGAAGCUUUGGUGGAUGAGCGUGCUGCAAAUUUGUUUCUUAUGAAACAUGGUGGUUGUCUUGCUGUGAUGAAGUACAACGGAUAUGAGAACAAUUAUAGCCUUUGGGUGAUGAAGGAAUAUGGGAAUGUGGAGUCGUGGAAGAGGCUGUAUGAUAUUGGAUUACUGGAAGGGAUGGAGAAUGUGAUUGGAUUCAGUAAAAACGGUCAUCUUUUCGUGACAAUGUUUGUGGAUGAGAUGUUUGUUAGUGAUCCUGGAAGUGGAGUGCUGGUUUCAUUUGACCUUGAGAGCAGAAAAAUUAAGGAUCUUGAAAUUUUUGGGAAGCUUGGUUCGAUUUAUGUUGAGAAUUUUGUGGAGAGCCUGGUCUUGCUUGAAGGAUAAAGUGAAUUGCAGAUUGAUGCUUCUACUUGCAAGGAAAAGAGAGGUGUGUGAAAUGAAGAGUGGCUGUAAACAACAAUAGUAGUGGAAAAAGUGGAGCAAAUGACUGAACAGGCUAGGAAGAUUUGAUGAAAUUAUAUCCGUUUUGGAGUGAGUUUUUAUUGUAAUUUUUGUUUGUGCUGUGUUUCUAUUAUCCAACUUUGGUAGUCUUUAAAUGGAAUGCUAUUACCAUGAUUCUCAUCAUAGACUCGCUCGUUUAUGUUCCGCUAGCCUGUUAAUUUUAAAACGAACAUAAUGCUAUAAGCUGUAUUUAUAAUUAUAACUUGGUGUUACUUCUCUGUUGUUUGGUGGUGAUUCGUUGUUUUGUUGCUGCUAGUGCUCUAACCCUUUGAAAUGAUCUUUUGCUGUGUGCAACGUGCCCAUUCGAUGAUGAAGGCCGCUAGUCAUCUUCAUCUUCUUUUGUUGUUGUGUGAGGUUCAAUAACAGAGGGAUACCAAAUUAUUCUUGAUCCAUGUCAAGAUAGCUUUCUAAAGAACUAUGUGCCUGCCCUUCAGACUGGAACUUCACUUUUAGCUUACGGACUUGCCUUCAGCUCAAGAAUGUCUAUUAUAUUCUUUGUUGUACAUAUGACUGGCCUUCAGCUUUUAACUCGACUUGGCUUGUUUGCAGCCCUAGACCGUGCCAUUUCAAAUAGAGAACUUUUGUUAUUGUCCAUCUUUCUCCAAUUGAAUUCCUUUUCUUUCUAUUUAUUUUGCCAGGUGAAAACAUAAAGCAAAUAAUUACAGGGAAAAUUUAUAUCAAGGGCGAGAUUUUGAGCCGGGCAUAUGUAGCUUUUUCUGUCACUAAAUUUUUCAAGAAACUCUACCAAUGCUCCACUCUUUCUUGGGGGUCUUUCUAAUUCUGAGCAGCUGCCCCAUCUCUCAAACCUGAAAAAUGGAAUUGGAAACUACCUAGGACAACAUUCCCGAAGAAAUAUUGACUGAAAUCUUUAUGAAUGAAACAAUCCCAGUCAAAUCCCUAGUCAGAUUCUCCUAGUCUCCAAAUACUCACAAGUCCUAGUUUUAUCUCGAGGCACCUCAUUAGAAACCAAGGACUAAUGUAGGGUCCUUCUCAGAAGGGUAGAAAUAAUGCCUAAUUCUCAAAACAAGAGUCAAGCAUUCAUAUUAUCUCUUGGCAAACCCAAAAAAAAAAAA
rnacentral:lncRNA from 1 species